rnacentral:lncRNA from 1 species
GCCAGAUAAGGGAAGCAGGCCUCCGAAGCCAGCAGUGGCAACCCACUUGGGUCCCUUUCAAUGCUGUGGAAGCGUUGUUCUUUCACUCUUCUCAAUAAAUCUUGCUGCUGCUCACUCUUUGGGUCUGCCCCGCUGUUAUGAGCUGUAACACUCACAGCCAGUGUCUGCAGUUUCACUCCUGAAGCCAGCAAGACCACAAACCCACAGGGCGGGACAAACAACUCCGGACAGGAGGAAUGAACAACUCUGGACGCGCCACUUCUAUGAACUUUUAUGAACUGUAACACUCACCGCAAAGGUCUGCAGCUUCACCCCUGAGGCCAGGGAGACCACGAACCCACCGGAAGGAAUGAACAACUCCAGACGCACUGCCUUUAAGAGCUGUAACACUUACCACGGAUGUCUGCAGCUUCACUCCUGAAGUCAGCGAGACCACAAACCCAACAGAAGGAAGAAACUCCCGACACAUCUGAACAUCUGAAGGAACAAACUCUGGACACACCAUCUUUAAGAACUGUAACACUCACCGUGAGGGUCAACCGCUUCAUUCUUGAAGUCAGCCAGACCAAGAACCCACCAAUUCCGUCUAUCUGAAUCAUGUUAUUGGACCAUGAGAGCAAGCAGCUGGAUCUCAUUCUGUCCAGGACUCCUGGAAACAGCAGCUCUAACAAAAUUGUCUUCAAUAAAUAAGUUUUUUUGCAUCACAUUUGUGUAUGUCCUGAAUGUUCUGAGCCCUUCAGAUUUGACUCAUAUUCAUGCUAAAAGAAAAAAUGCAAAUGAAAAUUGUAUAGCUAAUUAUGAGAAAAAUAAAGCAUCAUAAGAAAACCA